GACGAACGCUGGCGGCGUGCCUAACACAUGCAAGUCGAGCGAAUGAAGUUCCUUCGGGAACGGAUUUAGCGGCGGACGGGUGAGUAACACGUGGGCAACCUGCCUCAUAGAGGGGAAUAGCCUUCCGAAAGGGAGAUUAAUACCGCAUAAGAUUGUAGUAUUGCAUGGUAUAGCACUUAAAGGAGCAAUCCGCUAUGGGAUGGGCCCGCGGCGCAUUAGAAAGUUGGUGAGGUAACGGCUCACCAAAGCGACGGUGCGUAGCCGACCUGAGAGGUGGAUCGGCCACAUUUGGACUGAGACUCGGCCCAGACUCCUACGGGAGGCAGCAGUGGUGAAUAUUGCACAAUGGGGGAAACCCUGAUGCAGCAACGCCGCGUGAGUGAUGACGGCCUUCGGGUUGUAAAGCUCUGUCUUCAGGGACGAUAAUGACGGUACCUGAGGAGGAAGCCACGGCUAACUACGUGCCAGCCGCCGCCGUAAGAC
rnacentral:rRNA from 1 species